CCCGCCCCGCCGGGUUCCGCGCUGCGCCCGGGUCCGAGGGGCGCCCCGGCCGACCCGACCACCGCCGCAGAUCGAAGGAGGGAGCCCGGCCUCCUCACCGGUCAGCGGGGCGACUCCGGACGGGGCUCCGGGCUAUGGGGACGGCGGGUUCCGCCGCGCGAGGCGCCCCCACCUUCGCCGCCCCCGGCCCGGCCGAGGGUCCCCAGGCGCCCGCUUCCUGAGGCCGCCCGGCUCGCGGUCCCGAAGGGUUGACUUGAGCUUUUGCCCUGAGAUGAAGGGAGCACGGGGCGGCCGAGGCUGCCCGUGGGGGUCUGUUCGGGCCGGGGGCGCCACGAAGUCCUGCCUAAGGGUCGGCUGCGGCCACCGGGGCACGAGUUCCCGGCGCUGCCCACGGGCUCGGAGACCGGCGGGGCCCAGGGGCCGUGCGCGCGGUCGCUCAGACCCUGAUUAGGGAACUGGGGGAAGGAGGGGGGUCGGGACCCACCGAGGCCCGAAGUCGCCCCCACCAUCCUGUGGGAACAACAUCCUCAGGCACAGCCAUUCCCAACCAUUCACAUCCUCAGAAAAAGGCACGUGUCCGUAUCCAUCUGCGGAUGGAUGAACAGAGCCCGGCCCCGGGACAGAGCAGCCUGGCUCACCCGAACCCUCAGCCCGCAAUUCUGCGUGGGAGUGGAGGGGGUGUUUGGUGUCUGGGAAUUCCCCUGGUGGGGCAAUAAGCCAGGGGUCUGGUGUCAUCCUCCACCCACAUUGUUAACACUGGAUCACUCCUCUCCGUGCCGUGCCUGCAGCCCAGGCACCCUGCAGCCUGUCCUCCCCGAACCAUGCGUCCUGGUAGAGCUGUCUCCCUCGCCCACAGUCCUCAGUCCCGCCUCACACACCAAACCCUCUUCUGCCUCAGGUCCUUUGCGCCAGUUGCCUCUGCCUAGACUUGGUUCCCUGGAUGCCCCCUCCCCACCCCAUGUGUAUGUCCGGCUCCCUGGACCCACCCCCCACACUGUGUGUCUAGCCCCCUGGACCCACCCCCCACUCUGUGUCUAGUCCCCUGGACUCCCCUCCCCACCCCCUGUGUCUAGCUCCCUGGACCCCCAACCUGGCCCAUGUGUCCAACUCCCAGGACCCCCCCACCCUGUGUCCAGCUCCCUGGUUUCCCCCACCACCCCAUGUGUUUGGCUCCCUGUCCUGCUGCCUUCUCAGUGCUUGUGCACCCCCAGCCUCAUCAGACUUGUCACUCUAUUAGAACAGGAUGUAGGGCCUGGACUGUUGGCUCCCUGCUACCCCCACCCACAGGACAGUGCUGGGGUUGACCCGACUUUGGCUGCACAUUUGACUGGCCCCUGGAUCAGCUCUAGGACUAGAUGUACCCAAAAGGAUGCCCACAUCCUUGCCUCAGCUCCUGCCUCUGCCCACCCAGAGAGCUGCCUUGCCCCCAUGUCCACGAUGCAGCCACCAGGCCUGGGUAAGCGUGGGUGUCCGAGACGGGCUGGGACACCCAGAAGAGGAGCCAGGACUUGCUUGGUCUGUAUCCCGGCUCUGCAUGCCUCAGUGUCCCUGCCUGUAAAGUGGGAUCUAUGGGAACCCAUGUGUGGGCCGGGCACAGUGCUCACACCUGUGAACCCAGCACCUUGGGAGGCCAAAGGGAGGAUCCUUUGAGCUCGGGAGACAGGGUCUCGCUCUGUUGCCCAGGCUGUAGUUCAGCGGCGUGAUCUCAGCUCACUGCAGCCUCCGCCUCCCAGGUUCAAGCGAUUCUCCUGCCUCAGCUUCCUGAGUAACUGGGAUUACAGGCACUUGCCACCAUGCCCAGCUAAUUUUGUAUUUUUAGUAGAGAUGGGGUUUUGCCAUGUUGGCCAGGCUGGUCUCAAACUCCUGACCUCAAGUGAUCUGCCUGCCUCGGCCUCCCAAAGUGCUGUGAUUACAGGUGUGAGUCAUCAUGCCUGGCCAAAAAAAAUUUUUUUAAAUUAACCGGGUGUGAUGGCACAUGCCUGUGGUCCCAGCUACCUGAGGCCAAGGUGGGAAGAUCACUUGAACACAGCACUUCGAGGCCACAGUGAACUAUGAUCGCGCCACUGCACUCCAGCCUGGGUGACAGAGCAAGACCCUGUCUCCAAAAAAAACCCUCUAAACCUAUGUGUUAUGGAUAGGGCCUCUAAGAAGGUAAUUAAAGUUACGUGAGUCCUAAGGGUGGGACCCUGAACUGUUGUCCUUAAAAGAAGAGGAAGAGACACCAGGAGUGAGCACACAGAGGAGAGGCCACAUGAGGACGCAGGGAGAGGGUGCCGUCUGCAAGCCAUGGAGAGGCCUCAGGAGGAACCCACCCUGCCGGCAGCCUGAUCCCUGACAUCCAGACUCCGGAAGUGAGAAAAUAAAUGUCGUUUAAGCCGCCCAGGCUGUGGUGUUGAGUUAUGCGGCCCUAGCAGGUCAUUUGUCACGUCAUGGGUAUCUGGACCUGGAAUCGUGUGCUGGCCCAAGUCAGCAGCAUGGCACCCAUGGUCACCCCUUCAGCUGAGCCACAUGCCCGGGUGCCCCAGGGACAGAGCAGGGUGUGCCACGGGCACUGCCUGGUUCCUGAAGCUGUGGGGCAGGCCGGUCUGGCCCUCACAGCCUGUGCUCUGAUUCGAGGGCCGUUCCGUUGGGUUGAGCUCCACGGUCCCAGAGCGCCCGCCGUCAGCUCAGGCCCGAGGCUACACCUACUGAAUCCCCCCAGCACUGCAGCACCCCUCCCCUUCCUUCCCUG
rnacentral:lncRNA from 1 species